AUAAACAAACCUUUGAACAUAAUCUACUAUAUGACAAACCGUACGAAGAGUCUAUGUAUUUGUUUUUGAUAUAAAACAAUAGCUUGCGAGAUCAAUUUCUCAAGACAACUAAUUUACGACUUAGAGACUUUGGACUGAAAUUUGGAGUGAAGACCAGAUCUCCAAUCAAAAUCAGUGGUUAUAUUAUCCUGGCGUCAAUACUUCCAAAAAUGGAUUUAACUUCUUCUUAUGAUCAGAACGAUGCUUGACAAUGAGAUUCAAGGAGAAGAAGCUCCGGAACCUUCUCUUGCUGGAAAGAGAAGAAAAGAAACUGAAAGACCAAGCUCUGCUCUUCCACAAAAACCAAGGUAAUCAAUUGCUCAUAGAGCAAAAGUAUGGGAAUUCUUUAUCCAAAAAGAAGAUGAUCGUGCACAAUGCAAUUGUUGUUUCUGCAAAAUUGCAGGAACUGAAAGUAGCACCUGAAACACGUACGUGUUCUCCACGUGAAAUUACUAAGUGUAUCUUGGUUCCUUUUUGUAUUUAAUUCAGCUUGAGUUACAAUUUGUGUUUGUUUAAGAUUUUUAUUGCAAGUUGUUUUCUCUUCUCUGUUAUUGUUGUAAACUUGUGAUGUCAGCAUCUUUCAUCAAUAAGUUAGUACAACGUGGGUUCGAAACUUA